rnacentral:tRNA from 1 species
ACGGCCCUAGUAAAACUAUUACCUAGCUAUGUCAACGCUAAAUUACAGAUUCUACCUCUGUGGGCCUUA